rnacentral:rRNA from 1 species
GACGAACGCUGGCGGCGUGCCUAAUACAUGCAAGUCGAACGCAGUGGGGACGGGUGAGUAACACGUUGGUAACCUCCCAUCAGAGGGGAUAACACUUGGAAACAGGUGCUCAACCGAUACUGAUGGAUGGACCCGCGGUGCAUUAGCUAGUUGGUGAGGUAACGGCUCACCAAGGCGACGAUGCAUAGCUGACACGAGAGGGUGAUCGGCCGCACUGGUGCUGAGACACGGGCCAGACGCAUUCGUGACGCAGCAGUAGGGAAUCGGCGGACAUGGACGAAAGUCUGACCGGGCAAAGCCGGGUGAGUGAAGAGGCUUGACGGAUCGUAAGACUCUGUCGUUAGGGAAGCGGUAUCUAAACAGAAAGCCACGGCUAACUACGUGCCAGCAGCCGCGGUAAUAC